CGUUAGAGUCCAAAAGUCAAACUUAAAUCGAGCACGGCAUGCAUCCUCUGGGCUUACAGCCAGCUGAGUCAUCUCGCCCGUUUCUCUGUCUCUGCGGCACGAGGUCUGUGACACAGAGGUCUAUGUCAGGACCCAACAGCCAUCUCAGCCAGAAACUGGGCCAAGGAUUCAGACGCCACCAAGCGCUUGAUGGGACUGCCCUCGGGCAUCCACCAGGGAGACCAGAACAAGGAACUGUGUCCCUGGAGCCUUGUGAGUCACACUUGGUCCUGACCCCAGAUCAAUUUGUCAUCACUCUGGAAAAGGGGUGGGGUUAGCACACAUCUCUCCAGAGUGCCCUUAGGGGCCCUUUGUUAUGGCAGUGGGAUUAGAACCCUUGGUUGAAGGUUCUCACUGCCUCAGGCUAUUUGGAGAUCCAAGAGGGUGAAAGGGGAG
rnacentral:lncRNA from 1 species